AAUCUGGCAAAUGGCGUAUUUGUUUAAACCUCACACUCCUACACUUUAUUGUGGUUCUAAAAGUCCAGUGUACUGUAGCUCACUAAGGUCCGAUUUACGCUCCCUCGGCUGUUGUUGCACCACAAUUUCCCCCCACCACGACCACAUGCAUUCUCACACCAGGGAAGAUGGAACCUGGUGGAGAAGCUGGUUACAGCAAAGUUACAGUUCUGUGCGGGACAAAUCUGCAGAGGCUCUAGAAUUCAUGAAGAGGGACCUGACAGAGUUUACCCGUGUUGUACAGCAUGAUACGGCAUGCACUAUCGCAGCAACAGCCAGUGUGGUCAAGGACAAGCUGGUUGUGGAGGGAUCUUCUGGGACCACAGACAAAGUAAAGAAAGGGCUGUCCAACUUCCUAGGUGUAAUUUCAGACACAUUUGCCCCAUCGCCUGACAAAACCAUUGACUGUGAUGUGAUCACUCUUAUGGCUACUCCAUCUGGUACAACAGAACUGUAUGACAGUACCAAGGCACGUUUGUACAGUUUACAGUCAGAUCCUGCCACUUACUGCAAUGAGCCUGAUGGUUCCCCUGCAGAGUUUGAUGCAUGGCUUGCUUAUUGGGACCCAGAACACAGAAAAGCAGAAAUUUCUGAGCUUUUGGUGACAAGCCCAUCUAUCCGUGCUCUUUACACCAAAAUGGUGCCAGCAGCUGUGUCACAUUCUGAAUUCUGGCAGAGGUACUUCUAUAAAGUCCACCAGCUUGAGCAGGAGGAGGCACGGAGAGAUGCCCUAAAACAGAGGGCCGAUCAGAGUGUACAUUCCGAGGAGCCACAGUGGGAGGAAGAGGAGGAGGACUUUGUCGGAGCUGCCUCAGCACCUAACUUCAAACUGGAAGAGAAAUAUGUGAUAUCGCCACCAACCAUUCCAACCCUGCAUGUUGAAGACAAAUCAGAAAAAAUGGCUGAGCUGAACAGAGACCACACCUCUAUCACCAGUCCAUCAGAGAGCAGUGAGAGCAUUUCCCCUAUAACUCAGAUUGCGAACCCGGAAUAUAUUGAGCAGACCGCUACAAAAGAGUCCAGUCCCAGGCCACUUACAGUAAAGGAAAAAAAUGGAGCUGGAACAGAUGAAAGCUCAGCUCAUGCACCUGUAGAGCAAAUAACAGGAAAAUCUAAUGCACAGAUAGGGACUCACAGAGAAGACCCACCUUCUGAUCUCCGUGUGUUUGAGUUAAACAGUGACAGUGGCAAAUCUACCCCUUCUAACAAUGGCCAAAAAGGCUCCAGCACAGAUGUCAGUGAGGACUGGGAAAAGGACUUCGACAUGACAGAGGAAGAAGUGCAGAUGGCAUUAUCUAGGGUUGAGGUCUCUGGUGAGACAUGUAUUUGACAGGUAGUGCGGUGGUGGACGAUUGAGGAAUUCUGUGUAAACAUAAAUAUUUCUAGAAGGGACUGUCAGCCAUAGCAGAUCCUAACAGAUUAAGCUUCAGGUAGACGACGAGGACUGGGAGAACUGGGAAUGAACACUGCACAGAUUGUGCAUACUGCGUGUACAUCUGGACAAUUGAUCAGGAGUCUGACCCUGUGUUUGUCCUUUCAUCUUCACCCACGUGCUGCUACAAUUGAACAGCAAAAGCCCAGUUUUCUUACAUCUGGCCCUGUAACAGGCAGAAGUCAGAAGCCAGUGACAGAUUACACUGGCACUGUGGGGGUUACCUACUUAGAUUCUGACAUUUAUAGCUUGCGUAUUAACCCCUUCAUUGCCAGGGCCCUGUGUACACAAGUGGAGGGUUAAAAAGUACCAAGUGUUAAGAUUCAGCCUCGUAUAGGUUAAAGCAAGGGUUGGGGUUGCUAGGAUGUGUCUUCUGUAUUGCUAAUGGUUUUGCAGUAGAAGUCUGAUCUUCUAGAUAAAAGAAUACCAGGUAAAGGACAUCCUCCCUCAUUAAUGACUUGUGAUGGCCUAUACAUCUAGAUAUACCUUUCUCUGUCAUAGUUCAGACUGCGCCUAUCAUGUUUCACUGCCCUUGCAGCUGCGUUGUCUUAUAUUAUUAAAAGCUUAGUUGCUGUAUGGCAGCACUGUGAGGCAGUAUAACAAAGAACAGAGUGUAUUUGUACACUCCUGAUCUCUCCAUUGCGAGGCCAGAGUAGCUAGAGAUCUACUUUUAUUAAGUAAGGCAGGAAAAUACUAAUAAACAGGGACUGGGAAUAGAUUAUAGAACUGUGCAGCAAGCUUAUUUCUAAAAGGUGUAAAGAGGAGUUGUCUUUUGCAUUCUCAUUGGUUUAAGCUUGUAAUACUUGCAACACCGCACUCUUUCAAAACUGGGUCCCAGUUUUGCAUUAUGAGCCUUAGUUAUGUACAGCAACCUUUAUUAUAGUGAACUCCUCAUCCUUAUAGCCUGGUAAUUGUUUGUGCAAUAUAAAAUAUAUAUAUAAAUUCUAUUUUAAGUUAUAUGGUUGCAGGGAAAAGGGGCUGUUUUCCAGCAAAAAAGACACAAAUUGCUUAGGAACGCUUUAACAGCUUUUUCUUUUUUUCCUCUUUUGUAAUUAAGACUUUCUCCUGAAUCUUUUACAAAACUUGCACUUGCCUGCUAUUAAAGAAAUGAUGAGGUGCA